GACGAACGCUGGCGGCGUGCCUAAUACAUGCAAGUGGGACGCAAGAGAACACACUGUGCUUGCACACCGUGUUUUCUUGAGUCGCGAACGGGUGAGUAACGCGUAGGUAACCUGCCUAUUAGCGGGGGAUAACUAUUGGAAACGAUAGCUAAUACCGCAUAAUAUUAAUUAUUGCAUGAUAAUUGAUUGAAAGAUGCAAGCGCAUCACUAGUAGAUGGACCUGCGUUGUAUUAGCUAGUUGGUAAGGUAAGAGCUUACCAAGGCGACGAUACAUAGCCGACCUGAGAGGGUGAUCGGCCACACUGGGACUGAGACACGGCCCAGACUCCUACGGGAGGCAGCAGUAGGGAAUCUUCGGCAAUGGACGAAAGUCUGACCGAGCAACGCCGCGUGAGUGAAGAAGGUUUUCGGAUCGUAAAGCUCUGUUGUAAGUCAAGAGCGUGUGUGAGAGUGGAAAGUUACA
rnacentral:rRNA from 1 species